UGGAGCAAUGUACUACACACAGCAUUAAGACAUAUUUUGACUGUUAGGCUUGAUGGGGUAGUGUUCUUGUCUGUAAUUUUGCAGCUUUUGUACCAACAUGUCUGCUUGUUGGGUAUGCUGCUACCGUUUUACUCUGCAGCUGAUGAAGUUUUCUUCUCAUUUGUGUAGGUUGCACAGAGCAUUGAGGAUCACCAUCAAGAAGUGAUUGGUUUCUGCAGAGAGAAUGGUUUCCAUGGCUUGGUGGCAUAUGACUCUGAUUAUGCACUGUGCAACAUCCCCUACUACUUCAGUGCCCAUGCCCUGAAACUGAGCCGCAAUGGGAAAAGUCUCACGACAAGCCAAUAUCUGAUGCAUGAAGUUGCCAAGCAACUGGACCUGAACCCAAAUCGUUUUCCUAUUUUUGCUGCUCUGUUAGGAAAUCACAUACUACCUGAUGAAGAUCUGGCUUCCUUCCAUUGGAGUUUACUUGGUCCAGAACACCCACUAGCCUCACUGAAGGUCCGGGCCCACCAGUUGGUCUUGCCACCCUGCGAUGUAGUGAUCAAAGCUGUAGCUGACUAUGUUCGCAAUAUUCAGGACACCUCUGAUCUGGAUGCCAUAGCUAAAGAUGUUUUCCAACAUUCACAGUCUAGAACAGAUGACAAAGUUAUUCGAUUUAAGAGAGCAAUUGGAUAUUACUCAGCGACUAGUAAGCCUAUGUCAUUUCAUCCACCACAUUACUUAGAAGUUUAAGGCCAAGGUUGAGAAGUGUCCCUAAAAGCUGCCCUGGAUUGUGAUAGGAUUCCUUCAUGGAUUCAGAUGCAGUACCAGCUAUGUACCAGGCACACGGGACACAUAUUGGAGACAUGCUGGCGUGGUAUGACUGUAUGUGCAGGUGGGAAGGGGUAAGUCAGUGUGGCCUGUUAGAUGCUGUGACUGAAGGAGGAAGGGCAGGAGGGCCAGGCCUUCCCAGCCUGCUCCACUUGCCCCAGUCUCCCUGUUGACAGCAUAGACAGCCACAGCUCCCUGGUGGGGCACUCUGCUUUACUCAGUUGUAUAUUUUCCUCACAGCAGCCAGAGUAAUGCUUAAAAAUGUGAGUCAGACUAUGCUUAAGCCCCCCACUGGCUUCCCAUCACUCUUGGAAUAAACUCCCAGCUCCUUACCCCACCUGCCCCUGACCCAGCUGCUCCUCCUGACAUUCUGCUCUUCUUACCUGAGGCCCAGCCUUCUUUUUCUGUCUUGAAUGAACCAGGUUGGCUUUUGCUUGGGGCCUUUGCACCAGCUAGUACCUGGAGGGCUCUGUUUCCCUGGUCCUCUUGCGUUUGGGUCAUCUGAUGUUUGAGACCCAGGCAUGCAUGUUCCUUCUCUGAGGCCAGUAGGGGUUCUGUGUCAGUUCUGUAAUCAUAUGCACGUUCUUGCACACUUGUCGGCCUCUCCUCUUCACCCCUCCUACCCUAAGAAUAGGGGCUAAGGAAACCAGGACUCAUUUCGUAUCCCCAGUGGAUAAGUGAAUGAAAUUCACUAACCGUUUUUAAAUCUGGAGAAUGAAAUAAUAAGGUAUGUUUUGGGACAAGGUGCACAAAGCGUUGGAAAGAAAGAGACUAGAUAUGCACUGUUAUCUCAGGUAAGGUCUGUCUGCUAUAUGCCUUGCACACAAGGGAUGUUUAAUAGUUGCCUGUUCAAAUGAUGGAAAGCAUGAAGCCAACUCAAGGCCCUGUGGCCCACCUGACCCUACCACCUUUUGGCCUCAGGCUCCCUGAUUUAUUAGAAUGGCUCCACUAUAUGAGUCUUAAGAGAAAGCAUAGGUGAAGUGUGUUAGUGAAGUGCUUGUUCAAUAACAGAUAGUGUAAUUGGUAUAGGGCACUGAAUAAUUGGAUGGAUGGUGGAAUGUUGAAAUGUUAGGAAGCCUGGAAAUUGCUCACAGAGGUGGGACAGACAUCCUCAGGGGUCUCUGUCAACAUUCUGUUCCUUUUGUGUAUCUGUUCUUAUCUUUUGCUACUAUAACAAAAUGCCUGAAGCUGAGUAACUUUAUAAAAAAAGGUUUACUAAGCUCUGUUCUGGAAAUUCAAGGACACAUCACUGGCAUCAGCUCUGCUCUAGUGAGGGCCCUGUGACAGAUGGAACUGCAGUGGCUGUAGUGAGAGAUCAUACCACAUAACAACAAGCCAGAGAGAGAUUAGGGUUCCAUAACAUAAUACGUUUUGAGAGUAGCACCCCUAUGACUUCCAAUAUGCCUCAUCUGUUUUUUUUUCUCCCCUGUACUGGGGUUUGAACUCAGGGCCUUAUGCUUGCUAGACAGGUAUUCUACCACUUGAGUCACAGCCCAAGUCCAAGCCCAUCUCUGGAAGGUUCCACCACUUUCUGUACCACUAAACUGAGGACCAAGCCGCUAGCAUGUGAAUCUUUGUCCUGUAGCAUAUGGGACUAUUUUGUGGUAGAUAGUUUAAGCAGUCAUUAUAGUAUACUUGGAACUGGAAUGUUUAUUCAAGAGGAAAGAAAAAAAACAGUGUCUAUCCUGAAUAUAUGCAGACUUCCCUGUUAUUGUUAUGUAAAGAUACAGUGUAACAACUAUUUACAUAGCAUUGACAUUGUUUGAGGGAUUACAAAUCAUGUAGAAAUGAUUUAAAGCAUUUAAGAGAAUAUGCAAACAGCAUGGCACUUCAUUUAAGAGGCUUGUGCGCCUGUGGAUUUUGGUGUCUGCUGGGUUCUUGGAACCAGCAGGGGACACUGAGGAAUGACUGCACACCUGACGUUUGGCAUUGACUUAGGCUAAUGAUGACCGUUUUGAAGACGUCUUGAAUAAACAAAGGUGAGUUUUAAAUAUGUCCUGCCAUGUCCUUAAUUAAUCAGUAAAGACAUUUUAGGUAAGUGCUUUGUAGAUGGAGUUACUCUAUUCAGUUUCAUUUUCUCUUUUGCGGCACAGAGGUUUGUGGAAGAAAGGUGUAAUUGAUAAAGAGUUUGGGAUGUUUAAUGCCCUGUCUUCAGGGAGGCUGAUGGAGCUGGGCUCAGACUUUGUAACCACUUCCAAGAGAACUACUAUGAAGUUACUUAGUCCCCUCCAGAACAGCACCCUCCGUUGACAAAGGACCACCUUCUAGGCCUGAUACUACCAUGAAACUUUCAGCACCACUACCUUUGGAGAGAUGGUCCAACAUCUGAGCCACAGAACUAUAUUUAAUAAAUAAGACAAAACAAAAAAAUCUUCCUGGCCUGGCAGUCUUGGUUGAUAUGGGUUUUUCUGUUUUGUGUUUUGUCAUGGUGGGAUGGAAGCCAGGGGCUUCUGCAUACUAGGCAUGCACUUACACUGAGCUACAGAUGUGGGGUAGUUUUGAAGGGUAAAACAGGAAUGAGUUCCAGUUCAUACUUCUGUUGUGCCACGGGUCCCAGGAAUCAUCUAUACUUAGAUUUUUAAUAGUAAGUACAGGUGCCUCGAGUACUUACUUUUCAAUCAUUCACUGUCAUAAACACUGUGCUAGUGCCUACUGCUUUGGGGAUAAUGGCGAUAUUUCCUUUCUGUCACAGCACACAGUCUGUGAUAGCUCACCAGGAAGCUACCAUUCCAAACACAGCACAAAUAAGACAGGCAGUUGAGUCUUCAGAAUAUGUGAUUUAAAUCACUAGCUUCAAAAUCAUUGGUGGAAAUUUUAUUUUACAAAUUGCAGCAAUUCCUGAGUAGUUGUGAUCCUAGCUACUCAGAAAGUGGUCAUCAAGAGGAUCAAAGUUCAAGGCCAGCCUAGGCAAAAAGUUAGCCAGACCCCAUCUGAACCAACAAGUGGGGCAUGGUGGGUGUGUCUGUUACACCAGCUACAUGGUAGAUGUAAACAAGAGGUAAAAAUGUGAAAUUCUACUAGAAAAAUAACUAAAGUAGAAAGGGCUGGAGGCAUGACUCCUUGCAAGCACAAGAUCCCGAGUUCAAAACCUAAUAUGGCCAAUAAAACAAACAAGUGACAAAUAAUGCAGGUGCUAGGGGCCCACACAUCUGUGGGCACAAGCCAGUCCUGGUGUAUGUUUUUAAAACUACACAAGUGAAGUCAAGGUCCAUUGAGAUUGUAGAAUCAUCCAUUCUUCUGGAUGGCCUUCUUGUGAAAAGUAAAUAAGCUCCCAAUACACACUUGUUUGAAUGGCUGAAAUAUAAGACCCUGGCAGCACCAGUGCUGGAGAAGAUGUGGGAUAGUAGGAGCCCCCUUUGCUGAUAAGAAUGCAAAAUGGCUCGAGACAGUU